rnacentral:rRNA from 1 species
GCCAGACUCCUACGGGAGGCAGCAGUGGGGAAUAUUGGGCAAUGGGCGCAAGCCUGACCCAGCAACGCCGCGUGAAGGAAGAAGGCUUUCGGGUUGUAAACUUCUUUUCUGGGGGACGAACAAAUGACGGUACCCCAGGAAUAAGCCACGGCUAACUACGUGCCAGCAGCCGCGGUAAUACGUAGGUGGCAAGCGUUAUCCGGAUUUAUUGGGUGUAAAGGGCGUGUAGCCGGGUUGACAAGUCAGAUGUGAAAUCCUGCGGCUUAACCGCAGAACUGCAUUUGAAACUGUUGAUCUUGAGUACUGGAGAGGCAGACGGAAUUCCUAGUGUAGCGGUGAAAUGCGUAGAUAUUAGGAGGAACACCAGUGGCGAAGGCGGUCUGCUGGACAGCAACUGACGGUGAGGCGCGAAAGCGUGGGGAUCAAACAGGAUUAGAUACCCGAGUAC